UAUUGACUAAAGGUAAAAAACAUGUUUCAAAAGUAAAACUUACUAUCUGAAUCAACUUCUUAAAAUGAGUAACAAAGUAUGUUUCCUUUUUCUGUUUGCCUCUAUGUGUUUUUGUUAUCAAUUUCCUUAGUUUUGUUCUCGCUGCUUAGAGCUUUGCUCUCACUACCAGAUUUGCACUUACACUGUCUGGCUUUCUCCUUUGCAAUCCCUGAGUUUUUGGUUGCAAUUCUGACACAACCCUUUCGGGUGGGCGGGACUUCUGAGAAGUCCUCUCCCAUAGGACAGUGGUUUCUCUUGAGUGACAGUUCAGUGACCUGGAAGUGAUGUAGCCUCCCAGACAUUUUUUUUCCCACCUGGUCAACAACAUGAAUUUUGAGCCCCAAACAGGUUAUUUCUGCUGUCUGUGGUGUCUACUGAGGAUCUAAAGAACCUGUGGAACAUCAGAGACUUUGCAGCUAUUAGAGCUAACCUGUGUACUGCUAACUUGCUACAGAGGAAGCAGCAGAAAGCUGAGCUAACAGGCUGUUUUGCAGGUAAUCCUCGGGUGUCAGCAGGAGGAGGUGACUACCUGCAUUACGGAGCACCCUGGUUCUGAGCCAGUUGCACCUUUGUGCUGCUCUU